CAGCCUUGUACACCAGCUCCAAACUCUGUCAUCUUCCCAUGGAAGAGAAAGCAUGAUGAUGCAAAAGAUGACAUUCUUUGUGUUUCUUCGGAGAAGAAAACAAGUACAGCCUCCACUGUACCUUAACAUGAAGAAGAGUCUUACUUUAGGAUCAUCACGCCUUUAGCCCUCAUUGAGAACCUCAUUCCCCUACAAGACUUGCUGCACGUUUCUAGCCAAGCUUGCACCUUUUGGAAGCAACAGAGUCUGCUUUUAGAAAACGUUAUUUAAUAAAUUUUAACAUAGACUCGAGGACAACAGCGAGUUGUGUGAUCCUGCAAGAAGUGUUAAGCAGAAGCAGCUCACCUGGCUCCAUGUGCAAGGAAAUGCAUUUGUUUUAUACUUCUAGGAUGUUCACUAAAUAAGAGACACGUAAGUAUUAACUCCUACAUCUAGAUAAUAUUUUCAAAAUAUCAAAGAGAAGUAAUCAGACAAGAUUAACUUAUUUGCCGUUUUAAAAGCUACCCGUACUGCAUUACUCAGGGCCAAAAGUACUCUUGCAAUUAUUGACCCAGGAGACACGGCCUCCCACACAAUGUGUACUAUCUAAGCUUAACAGUGUAAAGUAAGCAAAGGAAACAAGCUCUUUUAAAUGUUUUUAUUACAGAAAAACAAAAGGCUUACACUUAAAAAAGCAGCAUUAUUUUGUGAAUUCAAAGUUAUUACAGUGAAGUUGCUUUAAGAAACCUUUAGAGACUGAAGAAAAUAAUAAAAUGCCAGAUGCCCCUUCAGACAGCAUUCUAGAUUUAUUUGCAUGACCACAGCAAACCCCUUAAUUUCACAUCACUUCUGACACCCAGUAUAUGACUUAUACGCUUUUCUUCUCCCUGUGUCUUGUUGAAUACAGCUGGGAGAAGGAUUUGGUGAAAAUGGCAGUACAUUUCAAGUUUAAUUUUCAACAGUUCAGUACACAUCUGCUUGAUAUCACAGUUCUGAAGUGACUGAGACACAUGCUCUCCUCCUAACUUGAGCAGUGAAAUGUCAGUUUUAAUGGAUCCUAGUUCGACUUGUGUUUUUACACAGUAUUGAUCAUAUUAAGGUCCAUAUCUCAGAUUUCUCAGUAACUUACUUGGUUACUGAUUACAAACAAAAAAAGAAAAAAAAAUGAAGGCUCAUACUUGAAAGAGUUCCACUGACCACUUCAGUUCUUUUAUUAAGUCAAAAGUUUCAGGUUUCCAGCCUGAGCCAAAACUAAAUAUGUAACAGAUCUGUAUUCUACAUCUUAAGAAACAAAUCAAGAAAACAUUACUGCCUUAAUAGUCCUACAUUUUGAUUCUGUCCAAAGAAAUUUACAGGCUUGUCAUUAAGUGAUUUUUUUAAAUACAACUUAAGAGCUCUACACCACGUUAAAGUUUUUUUCUAAGCACAUUGUUAAGCAUCUCACUCUUCAAAUCUAUGCUAAAACUAUACUCCAAAGAUUCCACCAAAAAAAACCCAAACCAAAACAAAACAAAAAACCAAGACAAAAAUAAGAUAAAAAGCAAGAAAACUCAAGUCACUAUUUACAACUGGCUAUAAUUACAAAAAAUGAAAAAAAGGCAAUUCAUAGAAGGAAAACGAAAACAAAAAGAGGGAAAAAAAAAAGUAUUAAACACCUGCUACUCAGCAUUCUAUGACUUUUUUUUUGUUUUUCUGUCCUCCUGAAAGGAAAAAGGUUGGACUCAAAAUCAGACACAGAAUCUUUCCUGGAAAAAUUUCCUACUCCCCAUAGACAUCAUUUAUACGAUUUGAUAACAACAAUCUUUGAAGUCAGGCAUUUAUUUACUGUACUCUGUGCUGCAACAUGAAGCCACCUGUUAUCAAGCUACUUAAACAGAAGAAACAAGUUUCUUUCCUACAAGGAAAAAGGAUGCAAUUCAUUUUCCCUGGUUAUGAUUUAUAUCAUCAUCAGGUUUACUCAAACAUGGAACAUGCCUAUUUAAGCUAAACCAUGUUUUUUAUUUAAAUUCCUUAAUUCAGUGCUAUAGCAUAGUAACUUCUUAAGUGAUCAAGCUCUCUUAUUAGGAGGACAUUAUAAUCCAUAUUAUACAGUAAUAUAGCCUUUAAAAAAAAUAAUUGAAAAAAAACCACACCACAAAACCCCAGUAUGAAUACUAAGAGGAAGAAUAAUGUUUUGUUUCUGUGGUACUCUCCAUGACAACAACGCCAAAGGCUGUUUUAUAGCUUACCCUUGAAGAUUUUAACCCUGGACACAAAUUAGUCCUUUUCACAGUCAGAGGGUUGUAUUAAAACUGACUUUUAUGAUUAAAUAGGUAACCAAAACACAUUAUCCUGACCAAUCUCUACAAAUGUUAAUAUUACUCUGAAGAAGGGAGUUAAUGAGUGUAUGUAACAGUCUCAAACAAAACUAUCAACAUCAACUACUUCAAAGAUAUAUAACAAUCUGAAUUAAACGCUGUAAAACAAAUUUACACCAUUCAAAAAGUUUGUCAUUAGAAGGUUAUGCAAAAUAGUCAGAGGCUGUUUACAUUUAAGUCUUUCUUUAUCAAGUUGAAGUGUGGAUUCAGAAAACUUAAGGAUCAUUUGCACUAUAAGUUUGUGUAAGCAUUCAUACAAAAAAUUAAACAGGCAAUCAUGUUCUAAAAGUUUUCUAAUAUAGUUUUCCAGCAUUUUUUAGCUGCCAAAGCGCUAAUAAAGACUUAUUUUAGUAUAUAACUCCCACAUCUUAUACCAAGUAAACAUUCCUGACUGCCAAUAAUUAUAUUAUUACAUGGUACAGCAGUUCUCUAAUUCCUAAAAGUUCACUUUUAACUUGAGAAAAUAGAAAAGUUUGGGGCUCUUUUUUCCAAAAUAAUGUGCAACAGGUAGAACACAUGACUUCCCAGAAACCUCUAAAUUGUCUUUACCUAUCAGGCUCUGCAAGACGUUACAGAUCUCAAUCAUGACGUUACAGAUCUCAAUCAUUCUAAGUUUUCAGCCUUAAUUUUAUAUGAAUGAAUGUUUAGCUGGACUAUAUUAGGAACACAUACAAUAAGGUCAAGUAACAUUAUCUCGGUGUUCUGAAAAUUCAAAACUCUUCAAAAAAAUGGUGUAGAAUUGUACCUGCAAAUUCCUUCAGUUUAAAUUGGUCUUUGUCAAUCUAUUAAAGACAAUCUAGAGAACAUCCAUUUUUUUUUCCUGUCAAUUUCUGAGAAAAUUUGAAUACAUGCAAGUCAAAACUACCAUAAUGCAACAUAAUGGUCCUCUUUCCUGAAGAUCAUCAAUAAAUGACUACCUUCAAUAAAUAUAAGUCUAUUUGGAAAUUCUAGAGAAUAAUUUUGCUAAACAAGUUAGUCUUUUUUCUUUUCCAUUAUGUCUUUCUGUUUAAGCUCUCCAUCUGAAAGUUCUGUAUAUUUUCCAUUCUUUUCAUCCUCUUGUUCUUCCUCACUACCUUCAUCUGUGAGCUCCCGAUCACCGUUUUCCUUUUUAGCUGCCUCAUGUUCAUCUAUCCCUCCAUCUGUAUCCGCUGUGCAGAUUCCAUAGCACAUAAUGCUGAUGACCCCCAAGGGCAAGCCAAAGAGAAAGCAUCCCAGCAGUGGUGAACUCUUGAAUACAGACUGUUGAAACACAAAUUUGAGAAAUAGGAUUGAGAUUGAGGGAUCUGCAGAAACAUUCCGUUAUUAGCUUCCUACUGAAGACUAGUUUAAUGGCAGAGGAGGAAGGACUUCUGGUUUCAGAAACUGAUGGCUAAAAAUUGCACAUUCACUGAAGUCUGGAAGCCACUCAUACAGAAACAUUUGAGUUUCAAUUUAAAUGCACAGCACAGGCUUUUUGCUUGUGUAGGAUAAGAACUGGAUUUGUGUACAUCUUCCCAAAGAAAUUCUGUUAAGCAUAAUUAACCUAUAAGAUGAUAAAUGUAUUUGCUUUAAAACUACAUCAAGUGUAGUAUUUAAUCCCCUUAUGCCCCAACUAAUUAGACUGAAACCACAACAUUUCUCAGAAUGUGAAAGUGCUAUCAAUCUCAGUGAAAGGAUGUCAAAAGGGUCAAGGAAAAGAUUUUGAAUUCUCCCUGUUCUGUUCCUUAAAAUACAUGCCAGACUAAUACAGAAAAGGAGUGAAAAAUGAAGAUACUAAUGUAUGUUGAAUAUUUGCACACCGAAAAGCGCUAUUAAAAACUUUAAUCAAGAAGUUCAUUUGGCUUAACCCUAAUGUAUAUACACCUAUAAUAUAUACACAAGACAUAUAAUAUAAACAAACCUAUAUAAAAAUAUUUCUAAACCCUCUGAAAAGUUUUACAUCUUGAUUGACACGAGUACCAUCUAAUUUAAUGAAAAAUAAAACUUACCACUACGGUAGACUUGGCAUCAUAGAUUAUUCUCUUGAUUCGUUGCAGAAGUCCAUCACCACCCUGCGCCUGAAAUUUCAAAUGGAACUAUGUCAAAACUGCUGACACUUUUCAGUUAUGAUUCCAAAAGUUCAUUCUUCAGACCUCGCAAUCUUAAGUCCCUUUAGAAGGAAAUGAAAAGUAAUUAUUCUUGCAUCUUACGAGGCCUAGACACUCCAACUUCUCCAGCAUGGACAAACACUUCAAUAGACUCAUGAAAACUCUCACAAUUGUUUUAAACAAUCAGUGCAAACUUCAGCAGUGGACUGUGCUCCACUCUCUUACCACAGAGGAACACUAGUAGAAAUUAGCAACUGUCUUGAUCUAACUAUUAUAAAAUCGCAGAGAUCUUUUAAACUUUCCUGCAUCUGACAGAUAUAUAUAUUUCUGGACUAUGACAGAAGCAGUUAGAACUAAGUAACAAGAAGGUACAAAGGUGUAAUAAAGGAAACUUGUGCCAAGCAAUGACAUACUAAACCUACAUUGCCACCUAAUUUAGCAGUCUUCAAAAUGACCACAUUAAUUCAAAGGCAAUUUGUCUGUUGCACAGGACCAGUUUUCACCUGUCUUGAGUUGCUAGAGAAACAAAUGGGAAGAAAACCUACAUUUUGGAAGUCAACUGAUCAGCACUUGACACUGACCAUAACCCCUCAAAUUACAAAAACUCCAUAAAGAUGAAAUAGGCUACCUAUAGGGCCUUACAGAAAGUAACAAGAAAGUCAAGGUGAAUAAUCCAACGCUUCCCAAGGGAGAGGGAGGGAAUGUUAUACUUCUCAGAAAUGUCACUGUGGUUCAGAAAGUCUGCAUCCUAUUAGUUGUUGACCAGCAUAAUUUAAAGAUUGUCAUGCCCCAACAGCUGCACAAUUUCUUGGGCCUGAACAUGGCCAUUUUAUGUCUACAGACAUCAUUUAGCUUAUGAAGUCACAUCUCGUAUUGUUUGUCUUAUAUUAGCACUCUUAUAUAGAGAUGUGAAUUUAGACAGACCUUUAAUCAUUUUUGCUGAAAUAGCGCAAACAAAAAGUAAAAAAAAAAAAAAAAAAAAAUAAAAUCUAAGUGACACUAUAGCAAAAAACACAGGGCAUCCCAAAAGAAUGUCCUCGAAGUUAAAAAACAGACAGAAACCAUUUUCAAUUGGUGUUUCAACCCACAGGAUAUAUUUAAACAGAGUCAAAUAGUUCUUGAUAACAGAAUUCAGUGUAACUAAUAAAGCAUUUAAAAGGUGAGAAAUUAAAAACAAA